UGGGCAGUGUGUGGGAGUUUGUAAUGACCGCUGGACUGAUUGUCCAUGGUCCGUUAGCUUUCGCGGAAAUCGGUAGGUCGAUUUCGGUGCGUUUUUCGGCGAAAUUCGCCGAAAGAACGCGGUUUCGGUUCGGAUUCUUUCCGACGGUGUUUGGUUGCUUCGUGUUUUGUCGCUGAGCCUUGUUGGCUGGUCACCAUCAUCAUUUUGUGGGUUCGAUGAUGAUGGGUGAGCGACGGUGGGUUCCGGUGUCGAAAUAGACACUUCCGGGAACCCGGAUUCGUACGAUUAUCCGGCGAUGAUCGUAUGGUUGUGUUACCUCGUGUUCACUGCCAAGGCAUCCAAAUUGGAGUGCUUUGGGGCAGCGGGUGACUCGUGGCACGAGUCGGUGAGUUCGGGACACUUAGUGGGUCCCGACGACGUCCCGGUGUGGUUUUCGGGACUUCCGGUGAGUUACGGUAAUCGGUUUUGGGAAACCGAUUACGGGGAUCCUGUGUGGGGGUUUGUGAGUCUCGUGCUUUGGGUUAGUGGUUUGGAUUCUGACUUGCUGGAUCUUCUUAGGUCCGGUAGACUCUGUGCGUACCCAGCGUUCCGACGCGACAGUGACAGGUGGGUACUUCGAUCCGACGUCGGUACAGUGGUGCACGCUUGGUGAUGGUUUCUUACCCUUACUCUUCUGUUGUUACUAUCGCAUAAUAUAUUGAGCCUUGCACCCUUGUUUAUUCAUUAUACUCUACUCGUUGUUUGCAUACUUAGUAUCCUGAGUAGGAGUAGAGUUGUUCUAUCUUCAUGCGUAUCUGUAGACCUAGUUGGUCGGUUGUUGCAUUCAGUACCUGUUGACCUAGUUGGUCUGUUGUUGCGUUUAGUAUCUGUUGACCUAGUUGGUCGGUUAUUGCAUUCCGUGUCUGUUGACCUGAUUGCCGUAACUCACCGGAAGUCCCGAAAACCACACCGGGACGCCGUCGGGACCCAUUAAGUGUCCCAAAACCUACCGACUCGUGCCACGAGUCACCCGCUGCCACAAAACACUCCGAUUUGGAUGUCUUGGCAGUGAACACGAGGUAACUCCACUACACAAUUAUCGUCGGAUAAUUAUUCGGAUCCGGAUUUCCAGAAGUGUCAAUUUCGAAACCGGAACCCACCGUCGCUCACUCAUCAUUUCUGAACUCUCGAAAUGACGCGAGUGACCAGCCAACAAGGCUCAGCGACUACACUAUAGCUCACGAAGCACCGUCGGAAUAAUUCUGAACCGAACCCGCGUUCCGUCGGCGGAUUUCGCCGAGAAACGCAUCGGAAAUUACUUUACGAUCUCCGCAAGGGCUUGGGACCUUGGACAAUCAGUCCAGAGGUCACCACACACACUUAUACACUGCCCACAUUAGCCACAAGGCGCACAAUUGCACAAAAGUCCCUAUGUUUACAUAAAAUCCAGCAUUUUAUGUAAAUCGGGCGACUCCUAUGACUCGUUCUCACAAACUGAGGACUUCUAAGUUCCGCCAAGACACAUACUGACAGGUCUCGAUGUGCCGGAGGCCGUGCUCAAGGUCUGGAGCGCAACAGGUCACAGUGGGAAGCGCGGGAGUAACCCGAAGUUCUGCGAACAGCGCGCAGUCGGGGAAGAUCGCGCCAAACAGGGCUAACCGGACACUGUUGAUCCAAAGUGAGGUGAGCACUGUGAUCAGCACUGACCAACGAUCACCGUGCUCACCUCCGGAGGCAUCAGGACAGCCUCGGAUCGCCGGAUAAGCGUGCGCAAACCCAAAACAGCGGCCAAACAGGCUCUAUAGGGUCGACACCGCCGAAACAGCGGAACGGAGUCUCCCCGGCAGAAACUAAGGUGAGCACGAUGAUCAGAAAUUUGCUACGGUCAUCGUGCUCCCUUCCGUAGAGAUCGGGGAGGCUCAGGAAGCUCAGAACAAUAAACCAUCCAAACUAAGCCCUAUUUCGGGCUUGGCCGGAGCAAGCUUGCUCCGGCCGGCUUCCGGCGGCACGGCGGCGCGCGCGGGAGCCAGGGAUGGGUGCGGGGGAGGUGAGGAGUACCGUGCUCACCUCGGUUGACGGCGGGGUGCGGCGGCGGCGUCGGCGGAGCAAGCUAAGUCCGCACGAGAUCGGGCUCGGGUUCCAAGUGUAGCGGCGGCCACGGCGGCCGGCGGGAAGCUCCGGGACGGCGGCGGAGGGUUGAUGGAGGCCGGAGAAGGGUAGCUAGGCCGUCGUUGGGCGGCGGCUGCGCGCGGGGCUGAAGCGGGCCAAAGUUCGGCCAAACUGAAGCAGGGCGGCCGCAGGGCGGUUGCAGCGCGACGGCGGCGUUCGGCGACGGCGGCGGGCGGCGGGGAAGGACGCCGGGGCUCUGGAAAGUCGGCCGGGGUGGUCACGAUGGCGGCGGUGCAGAGAAAAGGGCCGCAGGCUUGCCUCGGCCUGGGCUCGGGCUGGGGCGGCUGCUGCUGGCUGGAGCGGCUGCGGCGGCGCUCCGGGCGGCUCGGGGCGGCAGCGGCUGUGUGCCUGAGGUCGAGGGAGGGUGGAGGCGGCCGAGGGAGGAGGUUUUGAGUCCUCCCCUUGCUCGGGUCCAAGCCGCUGGAGAAGGAAGGUGGGAACAAGAGAGGGAAAGGAAAGAAAAGGGCUGGGGUGGUGGUGCCUGGCCGGAGAUCAGUCGGCGGCGGCCGGGAGUCGUGCGGCUAGGUCAGAGGGAGGCAAGAACGUGGCUGGGGUGCGGUUAGGGUUAACUAGGGAUGAUCUAGGGCUCGGAUCUCAAGAAAACCCUAGAAAACAAUAUAAGUAAGGCGCAAAAUUGCAAGAAAGUCCACCUAGACUUACUAUUUCAAGCUAAAUCCUUCCCAGCCUGAGUAAAAUGCGUG
rnacentral:lncRNA from 1 species